CUUAGGCUUUCAAUAAAGAUGAAGAGGAGAAUAAGCUGUUUCAGAAUAGGAUCUAGAAAGGAAAAGAUACCGGUAAAGAUCAAGUCUGCAUAGCACACUGAGGAGCAGUACAUUUGAAAUAGUGGUUUGCUGAAGAACAGUGGCUCCACAAGAAUAAUUUACUUUCUAAAGGUCCAGAUCCACAUUGCCAUGGUCUGCAUGACUGCAAGAGUUUGCUCAGCAGAGGCUUAGUUCUGGAAUAGCAAGGGCUUUGCAGGUCAAGCAUGCUGUGUGUUGGCAGAAAUACAAGACCCAGUUUUGAGAUGAGCUUCUGUCAUCACCAUGAAAAUUACAGGGAAGCGAAUAUUAAAAAUCUAUAAAAUUCUGAUUUCAUUUCAAGAAAUGAGAGCAUGAUCUGAAAGAAAAACUCUGCUUUUCAAGAAAUGCUUAUCAAAACAGCUGAACACCUCAUCACAAUUCAUCACAUAUAAUAAUCAGCAUAAAAUAACUCCUUGUACCCUGUCUUUUCAAAAUGCCUAGAUUGAAAUGCCAGUAUGGGUUUGAGCCUGCACUUCUGACCAGUGGCUACAGGUAAGACUGGGUAUGUGACAGCAGGAAGAGUAGAGGACUGUUCACAUUGAAAUGUUACAGUCAUUUCAUUUCAUAUGUAAAAACAUCCCUUCUAUUCUUUCUGUAGCUGAACUACACAGGAUAUGUGCACUUACCUGGGGGCAAGAAAUGUAUAAAAAGGACUUUUUCACUUCAAGACAAAUGUGGGAAAUUGUUAAAUAGUUGCAGAGUCUUUGAAUUAUGCCAUAAACCCAGAUUUGGAAAACAAACAAAUAAGAAUCACCGAUUAAAAUAAUUGCUCUCCAAAAUACAGAAACUGUGGGUUACAUUUGAGCACUUUUAAUCAUUCCUGCUGCACGCCAGGACAUGUGAAAGCUAUUUCUCUCCAUUAUACUUACAAUUCACUCAGUAAGCUUCCAAUAAAAAGAGAACACAAUGUAGAAAGAAAAUACACUGUCCAUAACUAACCGCACAUCAUGAACUUUACAUUCAGAAGCCCUAAUUUUUUGUGAUCUUUCAUGUUUUAUUUCAUGCAAGUCAUUCUAUUUCUCUAUCAAGAUGCUCUUUUGAUAAAGAAGUGAGUGAAAUACUUUCCAGAGCCCCUGGAAUGCAACUUUUAUAACCCAGUUAAAGAAAUUGCUGAGACUCCAGGAAAGGAAGAAUGUUAUUUUUGUGCUGUAUCUGCACAAUCCAAAUUUUCCAGUAUUCAAAUCACUUCACAGAAUCACAGAAUGUUUAAGGUUGGAAGGGAGCACAGUGGGUCAUCUGGUCCAACCUCCCUGCCCAAGCAAGGUCAUCCCACAGCACAUGGCACAGGACUGUGUUCAGGCUGUUCUCCAGUGGGGGAGACUCCAGAACUUCUCUGGACAAUCUGUUCCAGUGCUCAGCCACCUGCACAGUAAAGAAGUUCUUCCUCAUAUUCAGGUGGAACUUUCUGUGAAUCUGUUUCUGCCCAUUGUCUCUUGUCCUUUUGCUUGACACCACUGAGCAGAGCCUGGAAAACAUCCUCUGAUGUCUCCCUUUAGACACCUAAAUGGAUCGAUGAGAUCUCCUCUCAGUCACCUCUUGUGGCUGAACAGGCCCAGCUCCCUCUGCCUUUUCUCAUAGGAGAGAAGCUCCAUUCAGUCCCUAAAUCACCCACAUGGCCCUUUGCUGCACCUGCUCCAGGAGCUCUGUGCCUUUCCUGCCCUGAGGAGCCCAGAACCGGACGCAGCACUCCAGAGGUGGCCUCACAAAGGCUGAGAAGAGGGGCAGGAUCACAUCCCUUCAUCUGCUGGACUGCUCUUCCUGAUGCACUCCAGGAUACCAUUGGCCCACCAGGGCACUACUGACUUAUGGAGGGUUCUCUGUCCACCAGGACUCCCAGGUCCUUCUCUGCAGAGCAGCUUUCCAGCAGGUCAGCCCAGCCUGUGCUGGUUUAAGAGAUUAUUUGCUGUGCAUCUUUCUAGCCUGUUGGGGCCCUUCUGAAUGGUUGGGGUAUCUGAAGGGCAGUAUUGGCCACUCCUCCUAGCUUUGUGUUGCCAGCAAACUUGCUGAGGAGGCACCUACCCCUUCUUCAGCUAUGUGAAUAUGCUGUGGAAUUUCUGUGUCUUAUGAGCAGUUGCAGAGAAGAAUUUGUCCACGUUGCUGUUGUCUUGUGCUCUCUGUAGUUAACUGCACUUCCUUCUUGCCUGGAUGGAUCAUAGGGGAAGAUACAGUCAUUGAUUUUCCUAGAUCCUCUAUAUAUGAUUGAGAAAUAUAGAUUGUAUGCUCACAACCUGCAAACUGUAGACAUGUAGUAAAAGCCACUAACUGCACAACAGGAGUCCCAAGUUUAAAUGAUUUCAAAUGAGGACAUAAGCCUGUAUUUCUUCCAUCUCAGUAUCUUAUGAACAGUACCCUUUUCAAAGCCAGGUAUGUAUGUAGUUAUGUAUGUGUGAGAAACUGGGGAACUAGUUUAAUAAUCUGAAUCAGAAGGAACAGAAUUACAAGCCCUGACCCUAUCAGCAAAACAAGGGUGAUAAUUAUAAAACUAUUCCUUAUUAAAUGGAGAGGAAGGAUAGUAUUCAUUCAUUAUAACACAAUCCCCCUCCCCACCACCCAUCACCCCCAAAAAUUCUCCCCAAAUACAGGUUUAAUUCCUUCUGGAAUCAUGAAAUUUACUGCAAAUCUGGAAAUACUGUUGCUGGAGGAAAAGUGUUGAUACAUUCUUGAAGUUGUCAGGAAGCUGAGCAAUGCAAAAUGGUGAAUAGGGAAUGGGAAGUGAUUGAGACCUGAUGGAUGAAUUAGAGGUAAAUAUAGUGACUCACCUAAUUGAGGAAAUGCCUGUCCCAUCCCAUCUAGCUGGAGCUCUGCCCUGAUCCCAGCUACAACCAGAGAUGUAAUGCUUUAUACCAAUGCAGCCUGGAGAUGACAAACAUGUGGCAGCAGUGAAGAUCUUCAGAUCAUUGUGUUAUCUCCUUAAUAAAACUCCAUGGGAACAGUGAAUUAAGUACUUUUACCCUGAUUACACAAAAUCUUAAUUUUGAGAUCUGUGAUGGAUAUUUGCUCAGUUCCAAAGUAAUGAGUUUACUGUAGUUCUAAAAGUUUUUAUGUUCAAAGUUAAAGCAAAAAAACCCACAUAUAACAUCCUAUAAUAUAAGAAUAAAGUAAAAGUGUAGAAUUACCUUUUUUUUUGCAGAACCCCAUUCAGGAAAAUAAACUAUUAAGAGUUGCAGACUGAUAGCAAUCUGAGAUGUGAACACAAACAAAACAUUAGUCAUAAUUCAACUAAAACUACUCUAGGAGUACUACCAAUUAGAAAAUUAUGUGCAAGAAAGAGGGGGGAAAAGAAAUAAAGAAGAAAAGGCAGAGAAAAAUGCGAUUUUUGAUAAAGAUGAAAAUGGGUAUAUGUAACAUCCUGCUACAUGAGAUGGUCAUUCAGUUAAAACUGAAAAUAGUUAUUGAUUGCUCAGAUUACUGUCACCUGUUGGCAUUAACUGGAUCUUUUGUUCAGCUGUUCAUCCCUAGCAUCUGUGAUUAAAAAACCCCCACACUUUGCAAAUGUACAGAUUUAUAAAUUGUGUUUUCACUUGCAGUGUUAUAAUAAAAAUGAGUUCAACUGUGACAGCUAGGUACUUUGCUUUUAACUCUAACAGAACAAAGAUUUGACCUCAAUUUUCUGCACAUUCCUUUUAUUUUUUGCUUUUGUACUAAUUUUGGUCCAAAUUUGCUAUCUUCUGUUUCAUUUUAUGGUGAAUUUAAGAUUCUGUGUAAGCAAGAGAAAGGGAAAUUUUGAGACUUCUAAUU